rnacentral:rRNA from 1 species
AAAUUGAAGAGUUUGAUCAUGGCUCAGAUUGAACGCUGGCGGCAGGCCUAACACAUGCAAGUCGAACGGUAGCACAGAGAGCUUGCUCUCGGGUGACGAGUGGCGGACGGGUGAGUAAUGUCUGGGAAACUGCCCGAUGGAGGGGGAUAACUACUGGAAACGGUAGCUAAUACCGCAUAACGUCGCAAGACCAAAGAGGGGGACCUUCGGGCCUCUUGCCAUCGGAUGUGCCCAGAUGGGAUUAGCUUGUAGGUGAGGUAACGGCUCACCUAGGCGACGAUCCCUAGCUGGUCUGAGAGGAUGACCAGCCACACUGGAACUGAGACACGGUCCAGACUCCUACGGGAGGCAGCAGUGGGGAAUAUUGCACAAUGGGCGCAAGCCUGAUGCAGCCAUGCCGCGUGUAUGAAGAAGGCCUUCGGGUUGUAAAGUACUUUCAGCGGGGAGGAAGGGAGUGAGGUUAAUAACCUUAUUCAUUGACGUUACCCGCAGAAGAAGCACCGGCUAACUCCGUGCCAGCAGCCGCGGUAAUACGGAGGGUGCAAGCGUUAAUCGGAAUUACUGGGCGUAAAGCGCACGCAGGCGGUCUGUCAAGUCGGAUGUGAAAUCCCCGGGCUCAACCUGGGAACUGCAUUCGAAACUGGCAGGCUGGAGUCUUGUAGAGGGGGGUAGAAUUCCAGGUGUAGCGGUGAAAUGCGUAGAGAUCUGGAGGAAUACCGGUGGCGAAGGCGGCCCCCUGGACAAAGACUGACGCUCAGGUGCGAAAGCGUGGGGAGCAAACAGGAUUAGAUACCCUGGUAGUCCACGCUGUAAACGAUGUCGACUUGGAGGUUGUUCCCUUGAGGAGUGGCUUCCGGAGCUAACGCGUUAAGUCGACCGCCUGGGGAGUACGGCCGCAAGGUUAAAACUCAAAUGAAUUGACGGGGGCCCGCACAAGCGGUGGAGCAUGUGGUUUAAUUCGAUGCAACGCGAAGAACCUUACCUACUCUUGACAUCCAAUGGCCCUUACGAGUAGGGCUACACACGUGCUACAAUGGCAUAUACAAAGAGAAGCGACCUCGCGAGAGCAAGCGGACCUCAUAAAGUAUGUCGUAGUCCGGAUUGGAGUCUGCAACUCGACUCCAUGAAGUCGGAAUCGCUAGUAAUCGUGGAUCAGAAUGCCACGGUGAAUACGUUCCCGGGCCUUGUACACACCGCCCGUCACACCAUGGGAGUGGGUUGCAAAAGAAGUAGGUAGCUUAACCUUCGGGAGGGCGCUUACCACUUUGUGAUUCAUGACUGGGGUGAAGUCGUAACAAGGUAACCGUAGGGGAACCUGCGGUUGGAUCACCUCCUUA